rnacentral:rRNA from 1 species
GACGAACGCUGGCGGCGUGCUUAACACAUGCAAGUCGAACGGAAAGGCCCUGCUUUUGUGGGGUGCUCGAGUGGCGAACGGGUGAGUAACACGUGAGUAACCUGCCCUUGACUUUGGGAUAACUUCAGGAAACUGGGGCUAAUACCGGAUAGGAGCUCCUGCUGCAUGGUGGGGGUUGGAAAGUUUCGGCGGUUGGGGAUGGACUCGCGGCUUAUCAGCUUGUUGGUGGGGUAGUGGCUUACCAAGGGUUUGACGGGUAGCCGGCUUGAGAGGGUGAACGGCCACAUUGGGACUGAGAUACGGCCCAGACUCCUACGUGAGGCAGCAGGGGGGAAUAUUGCACAAUGGGCGGAAGCCUGAGGCAGCAACGCCGCGUGCGGGAUGACGGCCUUCGGGUUGUAAACCGCUUUCGCCUGUGACGAAGCGUGAGUGACGGUAAUGGGUAAAUAAGCACCGGCUAACUACGUG